rnacentral:rRNA from 1 species
UACGUAGGGGGCUAGCGUUGUCCGGAUUUAUUGGGCGUAAAGAGCGUGUAGGCGGCCAGAUAGGUCUGCUGUGAAAACUCGAGGCUCAACCUCGAGAUGUCGGCGGAAACCAUUUGGCUAGAGUCCGGAAGAGGAAAGUGGAAUUCCUGGUGUAGCGGUGAAAUGCGCAGAUAUCAGGAAGAACACCCGUGGCGAAGGCGGCUUGCCAGAAUGCGCUCGACGGUGAGGGAUGAAAGCUGGGGGAGCAAACCGG